UGUUAGAGCUAAUCUUGAUAUUUGUAUUAGCAUGUUUGAGUUUUGCAUGUAGUCUAGUCUAGUGUGGUGUUCGUCCGACGAAGGCUUCAGGUGAGCGCGCCAAGGAGGUGAGAUGCCAGGAUGCCGUGUGAGGCGGCGAGCACGGCGAGAUGCCGAUGGUGCUGCGUGAGAAGCGGCAAGACGUAUCAGAGGCUGGAGCCGUGAUGGACUGCAUCAAAUUGGGUCGGGUGAACCGGCCGGUCGUUCUCUUUUGUUGGACUAGCUGUUCAUGCGUGAGUUCGUUUAGUCCUAGCCGAGAGUAUCGUUGCUAGUAGUUGAUGCAUGCAUGUAGUUGGCCUGGUCACAAGUGGUUACCGAGUCGUGUGCAACGCUGGAGUGAUUCCAGGAGUGAAGUACGUGGGAGUUAGUGGCCCGUAUGGUGCUCAAGUUGUUAUCCUGUACUGGCUAUUUAAGCACAACAAAUGAAUGAGAAAGAUGGGGCUGUGAGGGCCAGCAGAAAAUAUGUAGCUUGUGUGUUCGCCAAGGAGAAGAGCCUAUGGCAAAGCUUUCGUGCUCCUCCUUGGUCCAUGCGUGUGUGUGUGUGUGUGUUCAUGAGAGAGUUCUUGAGAGAAAACACAAGAGAAUUGUGUGAGAGGGAGAAGAGAGUUGUGAGAGGCAACUCGAGGUAGAAGAAGGAGCGGCGCUGCGAGGAGGCGGCGCCAACAAUUGGCAUCAGAGCCUUGUCGAUCCGCGGAAGCGAUGGCGGCGACGACGACGCGGCGGACUCCAUGUGAGGUGGAGGACGUCGGCACGAGGUGGGUGGCCGUCGGCGGCGCGAUGCUGCCGGUGGCCGGUUGCGGUGUGAUGCCGCUAGAUGAUGGCGGUGCGAAGCUGCCACAAGACGACGGUGUGACGCCGAUGGGAGGUACGACGGCACGAGGCCGUUAUGAGGAGAAGACGGCGUGGCGAUCGGCGCCGCGAAGGCGUCGUCCACGUGAAGACAUGGCCGCUGCAUGCGGCAACAGGUCGUGGUACUCGGCGCCGCGACAGCGUCGUCCACGGCAAGACGGCGCAAGGUGGGCGCUGUUGGCGGCACGAUGGCGUUGAUGGUUAGUUGCGGUGCGAUGCCGCAACAUGAUGAUUGUGUGGUGAUCCGCGUCGCGAGGACGUCAUCCAUGAUAAGAUGAUCCAUGGUGACCGGCGCUGCGACGGCGUCGGUGGCGGUGAGUGGCCGGCUGUGGCGCUGCGACGGCGUCGACAAGUGGCUGCGGGUGAUCCGUAUGAUGAUUGUGAUAUCAAGAUUAGGAGGGUGAAUGUUAGAGCUAAUCUUGAUAUUUGUAUUAGCAUGUUUGAGUUUUGCAUGUAGUCUAGUCUAGUGUGGUGUUCGUCCGACGAAGGCUUCAGGUGAGCGCGCCAAGGAGGUGAGAUGCCAGGAUGCCGUGUGAGGCGGCGAGCACGGCGAGAUGCCGAUGGUGCUGCGUGAGAAGCGGCAAGACGUAUCAGAGGCUGGAGCCGUGAUGGACUGCAUCAAAUUGGGUCGGGUGAACCGGCCGGUCGUUCUCUUUUGUUGGACUAGCUGUUCAUGCGUGAAUUCGUUUAGUCCUAGCCGAGAGUAUCGUUGCUAGUAGUUGAUGCAUGCAUGUAGUUGGCCUGGUCACAAGAGGUUACCGAGUCGUGUGCAACGCUGGAGUGAUUCCAGGAGUGGAGUACGUGGGAGUUAGUGGCCCGUAUGGUGCUCAAGUUGUUAUCCUGUACUGGCUAUUUAAGCACAACAAAUGAAUGAGAAAGAUGGGGCUGUGAGGGCCAGCAGAAAAUAUGUAGCUUGUGUGUUCGCCAAGGAGAAGAGCCUAUGGCAAAGCUUUCGUGCUCCUCCUUGGUCCAUGCGUGCGUGUGUGUGUGUGUUCAUGAGAGAGUUCUUGAGAGAAAACACAAGAGAAUUGUGUGAGAGGGAGAAGAGAGUUGUGAGAGGCAACUCGAGGUAGAAGAAGGAGCGGCGCUGCGAG
rnacentral:lncRNA from 1 species